UACAGAGGGUGCGAACGUUGCUCGGAAUUACUGGGCGUAAAGCGCGUGUAGGCGGGUGAUCAAGUCGGAUGUGAAAGCCCUGGGCUCAACCCAGGAAGUGCAUUGGAUACUGGGAGACUUGAAUACGGGAGAGGGUAGUGGAAUUCCUAGUGUAGGAGUGAAAUCCGUAGAUAUUAGGAGGAACACCGGUGGCGAAGGCGGCUACCUGGACCGAUAUUGACGCUGAGACGCGAAAGCGUGGGGAGCAAACAGG
rnacentral:rRNA from 1 species